AUGUCACAACCCUGGCAGUGCUCAAGGCCAGGCUGGAUAAGAAGGCCUUGGGCAACCUGGCCGUGUGGGAGCCGUCGCUGCCCAGGCGGGGAGGGUGGGACAAGAGGACCUUUAAGGUCCAAGCCAACCCCUCAGCAUUCUACGAUUUAAUGAUCCUUAUGCCCUGGCAGGAGCUGGACAGGCUCACACACACUCGGUGCUGGAGGCACAAAGGGAUUGCGCUGUUUUGUUCCCCGUUUGGAGCAGCCCCGGGCACGCUGGAGCUGCGCUGGAGCAGGAGCACCUGGAACAGAGCCUUACCUAAGCUGUUUCCUCCACAACCCUGCAAGAUCCGCCUGGCACGCUUUUUGGCAUCUUCUGGAAAGCUCGGGCUGUCCAACAGGUUUGGUUAAUAUAGAGAAGCAGCAAGUGCCAGAGAGAAAAACAGAGGAGCUACUCUUUGGGAUCUGAGACAGCAGAACAAACCUCAAGGAAGAUGAAAGCUUCAAGUAGCUGUUUUAUAGUCUCCAUAACAGCUGAAUGAGUUACACAAGAAGAGUAACUGAAUGGAACCAAGUUUAAACAGGGAGAGCCUCUAUUACAUCUGAUUAGACAAUGGCUGCAUUUAGGGUGCUUUUAGUUUAGAAACAAAUUACCUAAAGGCAUCUGGGCAGAACAGGAUAAAUGCAGAUUUACUGCCAUUGCUUCACCCCUGCAUGUUCUUGUUACCCCCAGCACUGCAGUGCUUCCACCUCAUAGCAGGGAGCCUGUGCUCUCCUGCCUGUGCAAAGCUCCUUCCCCAUCAGAUGUUGAAGAGUUGUUAUGGGGCAAUUCUUGCUGUUAGUGAAGAGUGGCCAUGGAUCUGGAGAUGCUUUGGGGCAUCCCCUUCCUCUGCCAACUUCAGUCUUUUCCCUUUAUCCAGCAGUGUUAAUUCUGCUGGCAGAGCUUGGCCUAACUGUGUGAGCUAAGAUAGAGCGGGACAGAAAAAGCUGUACGACUUAAUAAAAAGGAAACAAAGAAGCCAUUGAUGUGUGAGCACACAGAAUUAAAUUUCAGACACACACAGGCAAAAAAUAGACAAUUAGAUAACCUAUACGAUUUCAUUUAUAAGGAACCUAGGUAUUACUCAACACUGUAUGCUUUUGCAGACAGCUUGAUUAAACAAGAGAAUGAAUAACAGUAUUUUAAACAGAAAAGCAAAGAGGAAUGGGUAACUUGAGAAAUGUGGAAGCAAGUAUUUCUGCUUCCUUAAGUUGAUUAGUGCUCUCUGCAGAUACACUGUCUUAACUUUUGCACUAAUUUUUGUCCUCUUUCCCAGACAGCUGGGAGGUUUGUUUGACUUGUGUUAAGGCAUAGUCACCUCUAGGAAUGCUGGUAGCCUUAUCAAUGGCAAACAUUAUUUCAUGAGACUGGUUCCAGGAAAAAAAAUUAAAUGGAAAAUGCCACAUAAGUAGGCACAACACAAAACUGACAUAAAACUCUUUUAAUAAAGUGAUUGACAACGA